rnacentral:rRNA from 1 species
CAUUAAAGAGUUCUAUAACUCCCAAACCCAUGUGAACAUACCUAACGUUGCCUCGGCAGGUCGCACCUACCUUGUAGCACCCUACCCUGUAGGGCCUACCCGGGAGGUGCGGGUAAGCCUGCCGGCGGCCCACCAAACUCUGUUUGAUAUUGAAUUCUGAACCUAUAACUAAAUAAGUUAAAACUUUCAACAACGGAUCUCUUGGUUCUGGCAUCGAUGAAGAACGCAGCGAAAUGCGAUAAGUAAUGUGAAUUGCAGAAUUCAGUGAAUCAUCGAAUCUUUGAACGCAUAUUGCGCCCAUUAGUAUUCUAGUGGGCAGGACCGUUCGAGCGUCAUUUCAACCCUUAAGCCUUCGUUGCUUAGUGUUGGGAGCCUACGGCAACGUAGCUCCUCAAAGUUAGUGGCGGAGUUGGUUCACACUCUAGACGUAGUAAUUUUUUAUCUCGCCUAUUAGUUGGACUAAUCCCCUGCCGUAAAACCCCCAAUUUAUCAAGGUUGACCUCGAAUCGGUUCAGACAAACUCGCUAAAUUGAAGCAUCUUAGUCAGCGAAGGAAAAGAAACCAACAGGGAUUGCCCUAGUAACGGCGAGUGAAGCGGCAACAGCUCAAAUUUGAAAUCUGGCCCUCGGGUCCGAGUUGUAAUUUGUA